GACGAACGCUGGCGGCGUGCUUAACACAUGCAAGUCGAACGGAAAGGCCCUGCUUUUGUGGGGUGCUCGAGUGGCGAACGGGUGAGUAACACGUGAGUAACCUGCCCUUGACUUUGGGAUAACUUCAGGAAGCUGGGGCUAAUACCGGAUAGGAGCUCCUGCUGCAUGGUGGGGGUUGGAAAGUUUCGGCGGUUGGGGAUGGACUCGCGGCUUAUCAGCUUGUUGGUGGGGUAGUGGCUUACCAAGGCUUUGACGGGUAGCCGGCCUGAGAGGGUGACCGGCCACAUUGGGACUGAGAUACGGCCCAGACUCCUACGGGAGGCAGCAGUGGGGAAUAUUGCACAAUGGGCGGAAGCCUGAUUCAGCAACGCCGCGUGCGGGAUGACGGCCUUCGGGUUGUAAACCGCUUUCGCCUGUGACGAAGCGUGAGUGACGGUAAUGGGUAAAGAAGCACCGGCUAACUACGUG
rnacentral:rRNA from 1 species